GAAAUGCGAUAAGUAGUGUGAAUUGCAGAAUUCAGUGAAUCAUCGAAUCUUUGAACGCACAUUGCGCCCUUCGGUAUUCCUUAGGGCAUGCCUGUUCGAGCGUCAUCUAAACCUUCAAGCCCUGCUUGGUGUUGGGUGCCUGUCCCGCCUCCGCGCGCGGACUCACCUCAAAUCCAUUGGCGGCCCCCGCGUCGGCCACGAGCGCAGCAGAAACGCGAACUCGUGAGCCCGUCCGGGCGGCUCCCAGAAGCUACACCCACCCAGUUUGACCUCGGAUCAGGUAGGGAUACCCGCUGAACUUAAGC
rnacentral:misc_RNA from 1 species